UCGUACGGAAGACUAAGCGAGGGUCGGGCCUGGUUAGUACUUGGAUGGGUGACCGCCUGGGAAUACCAGGUGCUGUAAGCA
rnacentral:rRNA from 10 species